rnacentral:rRNA from 1 species
AUUGAACGCUGGCGGCAGGCCUAACACAUGCAAGUCGAACGGUAACAGGAAGAAGCUUGCUUCUUUGCUGACGAGUGGCGGACGGGUGAGUAAUGUCUGGGAAACUGCCUGAUGGAGGGGGAUAACUACUGGAAACGGUAGCUAAUACCGCAUAACGUCGCAAGACCAAAGAGGGGGACCUUCGGGCCUCUUGCCAUCGGAUGUGCCCAGAUGGGAUUAGCUAGUAGGUGGGGUAACGGCUCACCUAGGCGACGAUCCCUAGCUGGUCUGAGAGGAUGACCAGCCACACUGGAACUGAGACACGGUCCAGACUCCUACGGGAGGCAGCAGUGGGGAAUAUUGCACAAUGGGCGCAAGCCUGAUGCAGCCAUGCCGCGUGUAUGAAGAAGGCCUUCGGGUUGUAAAGUACUUUCAGCGGGGAGGAAGGGAGUAAAGUUAAUACCUUUGCUCAUUGACGUUACCCGCAGAAGAAGCACCGGCUAACUCCGUGCCAGCAGCCGCGGUAAUACGGAGGGUGCAAGCGUUAAUCGGAAUUACUGGGCGUAAAGCGCACGCAGGCGGUUUGUUAAGUCAGAUGUGAAAUCCCCGGGCUCAACCUGGGAACUGCAUCUGAUACUGGCAAGCUUGAGUCUCGUAGAGGGGGGUAGAAUUCCAGGUGUAGCGGUGAAAUGCGUAGAGAUCUGGAGGAAUACCGGUGGCGAAGGCGGCCCCCUGG